ACGCUCGACACCUACGGUAGGCAGCAGUGAGGAAUAUUGGUCAAUGGGCGCUAGCCUGAACCAGCCAAGUAGCGUGAAGGAUGAAGGCUCUAUGGGUCGUAAACUUCUUUUAUAUAAGAAUAAAGUGCAGUAUGUAUACUGUUUUGUAUGUAUUAUAUGAAUAAGGAUCGGCUAACUCCGUGCCAGCAGCCCGGUAAUCUGAGCGGGCUGGCAAGGC
rnacentral:rRNA from 1 species